AAUCUGACUUCGUGGCGGCGCGCAGCGACUUCCGGUGGGCGCCUUCCGUGGUCCAGCGCGCAGGCGCUUAAAGGGGAAGUUCCCGGCAAGAGAGCUGCGCUCUCCUGGGAAGCUGCGGGUUCUCGUACUCUUUCCAAGUGUGAUAAGCUUGCUAAAGAAGACUUCAACCUUUGUGCGUGUGUGACUGCAACUAUCGAUUUAAGUGAUCACCAGCUGCUUGUUGCCCUCCUGAGUGGACAAAGUCUACCUACAGAACCACUUGCAAGCCCUGGGAUUCAGCUUUGUCCUGCUGUUUCCAAAUUUGAGUGCUCAAAUAUUGACUCCGAGGACCUUCCAUGCCAGAACCACCCAAGGUGAAACUCUGGAUACCCUUAAGAGACAGCUCUCCUACCUCCUGGAAUGAGUGGGCUUUAUUUCGACUGGGGCCCCAUCCUAAGGUAACAGUCCCUUUUGAUCGCCUGCUGUCGUGUCUGGAGCCCAACUAUAUUCGCCAGCCUUUACAGAUGCGUUAGCAGAAUUGAAUGAAUAAUGUCUGAAAGCAUUUUGGAAGCAAUCAAACAUUAGAAAGUUGAUGAAUAGGUAUGGCAGUGUAUUUACUAAAGAGAUUGUAAAUGUCAGAAUUUAUCAGAGGACACUUGUUGGUUUUAAAGAUUUAUGUAAUAUUUAAAUGAAUUUUGGCACUUUUGGUAGGAGGGAUAGUUUUCUCGAAUUUUCAGAGCUUUCAGUGUGGGAAGCAAAGCAUUAGGGAAUUCUUUGAUUUCAAGGUUUUAAUAGCAGAGACAGGAGUGUGGCUUAUAUGAAUACCAGUUUAACAAGGGUUUAGUGGUCCUUUAAAAGACAAAGUUCUAGGACCAACUGUUUUAGUUUAUUAUAAAAAAUACCAAUCAUGAAAAACUGUGAGAAAUUAGUACUGUGGGGUCAGAGAAGUGGUCCUUGAAGAAAGAGCACUUGAGUUGACAUCUGAAAGACAGGAAGGCAUUAACCAGGGAGGAGACAGAUUUUUCAGAAAGUAAUGGGCAAAGCCUCUGUUGUCAGGGGAAGUGUGGUGUACCUGAAGACUAAACAAAUUCUGGCAUGUCCAGAGCGCAGAAUGAAAGGGAGAAUAGUGCGAGAUAGGGCUGGAAGGAGAGGCAGGGACAGGACAGUGGAGGCAUCCAGCAGGCUCUCUUAUAAGUCUUGAUCUUCAUCCUAAGAACAAGAGACAGUGUUGAAGUGUUAACAGGGCACAUGAUUCCUUGUUUCAAAAAGAUUACUCUGGCCGACUUUGGUUAGAGCACAUGUGGGGAGACCAGUCAAGGCUAUUGGAGUGGUUCAGGCGUGGGCCAGUGGUAGCUUGGAUUAGCAGAGGAGUGAGUGAAAGGGAAG
rnacentral:lncRNA from 1 species